rnacentral:rRNA from 1 species
UUGGAGGGCAAGUCUGGUGCCAGCAGCCGCGGUAAUUCCAGCUCCAAUAGCGUAUAUUAAAGUUGUUGCAGUUAAAAAGCUCGUAGUUGAAUUUCGGGAUCAAUAUGUCGGUCGUGCCUUCGGUACGUACUGGUAUCAUUGGUCUCUCCUUUCUGACGAACCAUGAUGCCAUUAAUUUGGUGUUAUGGGGAGUUAGGACUGUUACUUUGAAAAAAUUAGAGUGUUUAAAGCAGGCUUUAGCUUGAAUACAUUAGCAUGGAAUAAUGAAAUAGGACGUUCGAACCUAUUUUGUUGGUUUCUAGGAUCAACGUAAUGAUUAAUAGGGAUAGUUGGGGGCAUUAGUAUUCAAUUGUCAGAGGUGAAAUUCUUGGAUUUAUUGAAGACUAACUACUGCGAAAGCAUUUGCCAAGGAUGUUUCCAUUAAUCAAGAACGAAAGUUAGGGGAUCGAAGACGAUCAGAUACCGUCGUAGUCUUAACCAUAAACUAUGCCGACUAGGGAUCGGAUGAUGUUAAUUUUUUAAUGACUCAUUCGGCGCCUUACGGGAAAC